UUAAUCUACCACUAGAAACAGAGAAACAGAUAGGUUAGGGUUUCGACCAUCAGCGUUCCCGGCGAGAGCGGAUCCGGUGGCGUCCAUGUCGAGAGUGCUGACGCGGUGGCGGAGUAGAUCCCGUCGUCCUUCGGGCCUCCACCGGCACUGACCGACGACGGCGGGGUAGGAGAGAGGCGCAGUGGUGCUUCCCGACGCCACUGCGCAAGCCGAUCGGAUGUCCUAGGGUUUGUCGAGUAGGGUUUUGUGCACGGUGAACUUCGUCAAACGUGCCUGCGGCCCCCACUCCUGUUUAUAUAGCGCAGCGCGUCGGGGGCCCACCAACCAUGGAUCGGUUGGGCGCCCCCGAUCAGGGCGCGAUCCAGGGGGUAAGAGGCCCCAGCCGUUGGGCUGGGCCUGAGAUCAACCUAACAUUCUCCCCCUUGAUCUCAACUGUGUUAUCUCGCUUUGUCAACUCACCCCAUCACAAAACAGUGUAUUGAGCAUGCUUCAUCUUGACAGUUAUCACUGCUAGAUUAGACAGCCACAAACACUUUUCUAUUUAGAGAUGAAUUCUCGCCUUGGGCCCCUUACUAUCCAGGAAUCACAGGCUUUCCCUUAAACCCAUGCCGGCUACAUGUUCUCUAAACACGUUGGGCGGUAAGCCUUUGGUAAGCGGAUCCGCUAGCAUCUUUUCUGUGCUUAUAUGUUCAAGACUUAUGACGUGAUCCCGGAUUUUAUCCUUGACAACAUAAUAUUUUAUGUCAAUGUGCUUGGCUGCAUUGCUUGACUUAUUGUUGUGAGCAUACAACACUGCUGGCUCGUUGUCACAAUACAACUUUAGUGGUUUAUCGAUGCUGUCGACCACCUUUAAACUGGGUAUAAAUUUCUUAAGCCAAUUCACCUGUCCUGAUGCCUCAUAACAAGCAAUAAACUCAGCAUACAUUGUGGACGAUGCAGUGACUAUUGUUUGUUUUGAGCUCUUCCAUGAUAUGGCUCCUUGCGCGAGAGUGAAUACAUACCCUGAGGUAGACUUUCUAUCAUCUCCCGCGUAAUCAGAGUCUGAAUACCCUACUAUUUGUAGGUCAUCAGAUCUUCUAUAGGUUAACAUGAGCCCUUUCGUGCCUUGCAAGUACCUUAAGACUUUCUUUACUAGAUUCCAGUGUUCCAUACCUGGAUUACUUUGAUAUCUACCAAGUAACCCGGUUACAAAAGCCAGGUCUGGGCGUGUGCACACUUGAGCAUACUGUAAGCUUCCGACAGCUGAAGCGUAUGGAACGGCUUGCAUGCGAUCGCGCUCGAACUUGCUCUUGGGACAUUGAUGUUCCCCAUACUUGUCACCUUUUACAAUAGGAGCAGGUGAAGGUCUACACUUAUGCAUAUUGAAUUUCUUCAAUAUUUUCUCUAUAUAUGCCUCUUGGGACAAUCCCAAUACCCCUCGACUUCUAUCUCGGUGAAUCUUUAUGCCCAAGACAAAAGAAGCUUCACCUAAAUCUUUCAUAUCGAAAUUUGAGGACAAAAAUCUCUUGGUUUCCUGCAGUAGAGUAACAUCACUACUGGCUAGUAGAAUGUCAUCUACAUACAGUACUAGGAAAAUGUAUUUCCCAUUCUUAAACUUUGCAUAUACGCAAUUGUCCUCAACGUUCUCUGUAAACCCAAACUUUCUGAUUGUCUUAUCAAACUUUAAAUACCACUGCCUGGAUGCUUGCUUUAAUCCAUAAAUGGAUUUCUUCAGGCGACAGCCCAUUCUUUCUUUGCCUGUCACAACAAAACCUUUCGGUUGUGCCAUGUAUACUCUUUCUUCUAGAUCCCCAUUGAGAAAAGCUGUCUUCACAUCCAUUUGAUGCAAUUCUAGAUCAAAAUGUGCCACUAGGGCCAUUAUGAUUCUAAAAGAGUCCUUGCUCGAGACGGGAGAGAAUGUUUCAUUAUAAUCUAUCCCUUCUCGCUGAGUAAAACCCUUGGCUACCAGUCUUGCUUUGUACCUUUCUAUGUUCCCUUUGGAGUCACGUUUCACCUUGUAGACCCAUUUGCAGCCUACUGUUUUGGCUCCUUCAGGAAUGUUCUCUAGGUCCCAAACUUUAUUGGUACUCAUAGACUUUAAUUCAUCUUCCAUGGCUUCUUGCCACUUAGAUGCUUCGGUGCUCCUCAUGGCUUCUUCAAAUGAAGUGGGUUCAUCCUCCAUCUGAACUUCUUCGCAUUCAUAGACUAUAUAGUCAUCUGGAAUAGGAGACUUUCUUGCUCUUUGAGGUCUGCCAGAAGUUUCUGCUACUGGCAUUUCUUCUUGAGAUUGCUCUUGUUGGGGCUGUUGUUCUUCGACUAUGGGUUCAUUCGGCUCCUGAGGGACAGGUUCCAAAUUGGCCAUAGGCGAAAAAGCAGCAGGUGUUGUCACUACUGGUGUAGAUCCAACAACAACAGGCAGCGUAAAGUAGGGUUCUUGCACCAUGGGAAUGGGCACGAACACCCGCUUCUCUUCAAGGUUAAUUUCUCGCGCUGCCUUGCUCCCCCUGAUCAUCUGAUCUUCUAGAAAACUAGCGUGUCUCGUUUCCACAAACUUGGUAUGUCUACCAGGGCAGUAGAAACGAUAACCUUUCGACUUUUCUGGAUAGCCAAUGAAAUGACAACUUACUGUUUUGGGGUCUAGCUUUCCUAUGUUUGGGUUAAACACUUUUGCUUCAGCGGGGCUCCCCCAGACACGCAGAUGGUUGACUGAGGGUUUCCUGCCGGUCCACAACUCAUACGGGGUUUUAAGUACUGACUUGCUUGGAACUCUGUUGAGAAUAUGAAUGGCGGUUUUUAAGGCCUCCAUCCACAAACUCAGUGGCAGAGUGGAAUAGCUCAUCAUGCUGCGCACCAUAUCCAUUAGAGUACGGUUACGCCUUUCUGCUACUCCAUUCUGCUGUGGGUCCCCUGGCAUUGAAUACUGGGCUACUAUGCCAUUUUCCUGUAAGAACCUUGCAAAGGGUCCAGGAACUUGUCCAUAAGGGGUAUGUCGACCGUAGUACUCCCCCCCACGGUCAGAUCUUACUACUUUGAUUUUUCUGUCUAGUUGGUUUUCAACCUCAGCCUUGAAUAUCUUAAAUUUAUCUAAAGCUUCUGAGCGUUCUUUGAUUGGAUAGAUGUAUCCAAAACGAGAGUAGUCAUCUGUGAAUGUGAUGAAGGAAUCAAAACCAUCCACAGAUGUCACUGGAAAAGGUCCACAGAUGUCUGUGUGGAUCAAUUCUAGUACUCCCAUGCUUCGCUUAGCGCCUUUCUUUAUGUUCUUUACUAACUUGCCUUUAAUGCAAUCAACGCAUUGCUCUAACUCUGAGAGUUCUAAUGGUGGGAGGAUUGAUUCUUUGACUAAGCGUUCUAUUCUCCCCCUCGAAAUAUGGCCUAAACGACAGUGCCAUAAUUUCGAUGAGGAAUCAAUUCUCUUUCUUUUCUUGCUAGCAUCUGCGGGUAUUGCAUUCUCAGCAUUAUUACAUUCAGCAUUCACAUUCUCAGACAAAGAUAAUAAAUAAAGUUUGUCUUGUCGGAAGGCAAGACCCACACAUUUAUUAUUUAACUGUAGCUUACAAUCAUUCUUGCUGAAAUGGCAAUCAAAACCAUAGUCUGACAAACAUGAAACUGAAAUUAAAUUUCUAGCUAAAGAGGGAACAUAAAGAACAUCAUGCAACUCAAGGGUGAAGCCACUAGCUAAAUCUAGAGAUAAAUUUCCUAUAGCUUGAACUUCAGCUUCAACACCAGUGGCCACCUUAAUCUGUCUUUCUCCUCUUUGAAGGGUUCUCCCUCCACUGAAUCCCUGCAAAGAGUUUGCAACAUGAACAGUUGCACCUGAGUCAAUCCACCAUGUGGAUCUAGCAUAACUUAGAUAUAAGGAUUCAUCAACAAAAGUUAUAAUGUCCUCACCUUUCACUAGGCAAUGUUUCAUGAACUUAGGGCAGUCAUGCUUCCAAUGCCCUGUCUCAUUACACCAUCUACAGCGAUCCGGGUCCUCCUGCCUGUGCUGGUUGUCUUGCUUUGGGUGUGCUUUAGGCUGUGAAGUGCUUCCUCCCUUGUUCUGGGAGGUGGAGGCAUCUGGAGCUUUCUUGUUGUAGAAUGGCUUCUUGUUCUUUCCUUUCACAAAGUUCACAGAACCACCAUUUGCAUUCUUGAGCCUUUCUUCCUCUUGCACACACAUAGCAAUCACCUUCUCUAAAUCCCACUCCUCUGGCUGUGUGUUGUAGUUAACAACAAAUGUCUCAUACUCUUUAGGAAGUGAGUUUAGAGCUAGGUGAAUGAGGAAACCAUCAGCGAGGGGCAUCUUUAGCUUCUCUAACUUGGCUGCCAUGGUGCUCAUGCUCAGAAUGUGCUCUCUCACACUCCCCCCUGUGAACCUCAUGUUAGUGAGUUUCUGGAUCAGGGUGGAAGCAUGAGCUUUGGUGGAACCAGUGAACUGAUUCUUCACUUUCUCAAGAUAUUCUUUUGCUGUGUCACAUUCUGGGAUGGCACCUCUUAGGCCCUCUGUGAUAGUUUUCUUGAUGACAAUCUUGCACUUGCGGUUUGACUUUUCCCACUUGUACUUCUCAAGAUCAUACUUUGCUCUGAUGGGAGCAAAGUCUCGCUUCCGAUUAGCAAAAGCUUCAUCGGUCUCAUUCUGAGCCCUUUCGGGCUCCUCUGGCUCAGUGGGCUUUGGCUCCUGAAGAGCCAAAUCUAUCUCAGCAAGUGCUAGAGCAGCAUCAAGUUCCUCGCGCCACAGAACAUAGUUCUGCCCCGUCAGCUUUGGGAUUGCACUGAUGAAGUGCAUCGCAUUGAGUGCUUGGUCUGAAAUUAAAUAUGAGAAAAUAGUGAGAACAUUAACAUUAAAUCUAGGAAAAAAUAAUUGCAUAUCUUAAUUUAACGUUGGUCAAAAUCAAGAUAUACAAAAAGUUAACUCUCUACAUAAAUUCUAAUCACCGUUGGGCAGAAUAGAAUAUAUGCAUAAAAUUAGAACUCGAAAUUUGCAAUAUUGCUAUUAUUAACGUUGGUCAAAAAAUAACAAUAUCACAAAAAUACUGGGCUUUAAAAACUCGUUUCUCAAAUUAAAUAUCCCGUUGGUUCAAUUUAAUAGGAGAAUAACUUGCGCAGCGGAAAACAUUAAUUUUCUUGCUAUUUUCAGAAGCAUAAUUUGCUGACUGUGCUUUUCUAGAUAAUAUACACGUUGGUGCAAAUUAAAUAGAAUUUAAAACUGAGCAAAACAUUAUUUAAAUGCUUCUGAAAAUAAAAUGGAAUAUGAAAAAAGAAAUUUCUGUGCUUAAACAGGCCGCGGCCAACGAUUCGGCCCACGGUCGCUUGCGGCCCAGCUCGGCGCGCGGAGCAGCGCGCAGCGCCCAGGCCUGCCUUUUUUUUUUCUCUCUUCGCUGACUGGAUUUUUGCGGCCCAGUUAGGUGAAAACGGCCCAUGGCCGACCCGCGCACAGGCGCCCCCCGCGCCCAGGCCGCAACCUGGGCCUGGGCCGGGAAAUCGCCAUCCCGCCUGGGCCGAAAAAGGCCCAGUGCCAUCCUGGCCGUUGAUCUCAAUCCAACGGUGCAACGAAAAAUUCGCUGGGAUAAAAACUGCUGGCCGCCACUUACUCUCCCAAACCCUAAUUUCUUUCUUCUUCGUUCCCUCUCCAGCACAGGGACAGAGCCGCCGCCGGCGCUCUUCCUUGCUUCUCUUCUGCGCGCGGGCACAGGGCCGACGCCGGCGCUUCUCCAGCGCACAACACUCGGGGCGGCAGUGGCCAGGCCGGGCCGGAGGGGCUAACGGCGCCGCCACGAGCCCUCUCGCCGGCGCGCGCGCUCGCUCAUGGCGGAGCGCGCCGCCGUCGAGCGGCUUCGUGUGCGGUGCCUCUCGCGGCCGGUGGGUGACCGCGUCACGGGUAGGUGGACGGUUUCCCCAUUCUUGCUCUUGCUUGUAGGGUUAGGGUUCGUUGGUUCCCUUGCCUAUUCUCAUUCUUUCGCGUUUGGAUCUGGGCGUUAGGGUUAGGGAGGUCUCGGUUUUGACUGAGUUAGGUUUAGGAUUUGGAAACGAAUCCCCUCUUACUUGCUGUGCUCGCUGGGUAGUCCCCGAGCCCCGAUCUACUACUAGAUCGGCCGAUACCAUUGAUAAUAAACAGGAUCUACUAGCAGUGAAUCGAGUCGGGGUACAAAUAACAUAUAGCAGUAAACAGUGGCACAUGCAUAUGAUUAAUCUACCACUAGAAACAGAGAAACAGAUAGGUUAGGGUUUCGACCAUCAGCGUUCCCGGCGAGAGCGGAUCCGGUGGCGUCCAUGUCGAGAGUGCUGACGCGGUGGCGGAGUAGAUCCCGUCGUCCUUCGGGCCUCCACCGGCACUGACCGACGACGGCGGGGUAGGAGAGAGGCGCAGUGGUGCUUCCCGACGCCACUGCGCAAGCCGAUCGGAUGUCCUAGGGUUUGUCGAGUAGGGUUUUGUGCACGGUGAACUUCGUCAAACGUGCCUGCGGCCCCCACUCCUGUUUAUAUAGCGCAGCGCGUCGGGGGCCCACCAACCAUGGAUCGGUUGGGCGCCCCCGAUCAGGGCGCGAUCCAGGGGGUAAGAGGCCCCAGCCGUUGGGCUGGGCCUGAGAUCAACCUAACA
rnacentral:lncRNA from 1 species